CAGAUGGGAGCUUGCUCCCUGAUGUUAGCGGCGGACGGGUGAGUAACACGUGGGUAACCUGCCUGUAAGACUGGGAUAACUCCGGGAAACCGGGGCUAAUACCGGAUGGUUGUUUGAACCGCAUGGUUCAGACAUAAAAGGUGGCUUCGGCUACCACUUACAGAUGGACCCGCGGCGCAUUAGCUAGUUGGUGAGGUAACGGCUCACCAAGGCGACGAUGCGUAGCCGACCUGAGAGGGUGAUCGGCCACACUGGGACUGAGACACGGCCCAGACUCCUACGGGAGGCAGCAGUAGGGAAUCUUCCGCAAUGGACGAAAGUCUGACGGAGCAACGCCGCGUGAGUGAUGAAGGUUUUCGGAUCGUAAAGCUCUGUUGUUAGGGAAGAACAAGUGCCGUUCAAAUAGGGCGGCACCUUGACGGUACCUAACCAGAAAGCCACGGCUAACUACGUGCCAGCAGCCGCGGUAAUACGUAGGUGGCAAGCGUUGUCCGGAAUUAUUGGGCGUAAAGGGCUCGCAGGCGGUUUCUUAAGUCUGAUGUGAAAGCCCCCGGCUCAACCGGGGAGGGUCAUUGGAAACUGGGGAACUUGAGUGCAGAAGAGGAGAGUGGAAUUCCACGUGUAGCGGUGAAAUGCGUAGAGAUGUGGAGGAACACCAGUGGCGAAGGCGACUCUCUGGUCUGUAACUGACGCUGAGGAG
rnacentral:rRNA from 1 species